CCUACGGGAGGCAGCAGUGAGGAAUAUUGGUCAAUGGGCGUAAGCCUGAACCAGCCAAGUCGCGUGAGGGAUGACGGCUCUAUGGAUCGUAAACUUCUUUUAUAUGGGAAUAAAGUGCUGGACGUGUCCCGUUUUGUAUGUACCUUAUGAAUAAGGAUCGGCUAACUCCGUGCCAGCAGCCGCGGUAAUACGGAGGAUCCGAGCGUUAUCCGGAUUUAUUGGGUUUAAAGGGUGCGUAGGUGGCCUGUUAAGUCAGUGGUGAAAGUUUGUGGCUCAACCAUAGAAUUGCAGUUGAAACUGGGAGGCUUGAGUAUGUUAGAGGCAGGCGGAAUGCGUGGUGUAGCGGUGAAAUGCUUAGAUAUCACGAAGAACCCCGAUUGCGAAGGCAGCCUGCCGGGCCAUGACUGACGCUGAUGCACGAAAGCGUGGGGAUCAAACAGGAUUAGAUACCCUAGUAGUC
rnacentral:rRNA from 1 species